rnacentral:rRNA from 1 species
GAUGAACGCUAGCUACAGGCUUAACACAUGCAAGUCGAGGGGCAGCGGUAUCGAAAGCUUGCUUUCGGUAGCCGGCGACCGGCGCACGGGUGAGUAACGCGUAUCGAACCUGCCUCAUACUCGGGAAUAGCCUUGCGAAAGUAAGAUUAAUGCCCGGUGUUUUCAGAGUCCCGCAUGAGGCUUUGAACAAAGAUUUAUCGGUAUGAGAUGGCGAUGCGUCCCAUUAGCUUGUUGGCGGGGUAACGGCCCACCAAGGCAUCGAUGGGUAGGGGUUCUGAGAGGAAGGUCCCCCACAUUGGAACUGAGACACGGUCCAAACUCCUACGGGAGGCAGCAGUGAGGAAUAUUGGUCAAUGGGCGGAAGCCUGAACCAGCCAAGUAGCGUGCAGGAAGACGGCCCUCCGGGUUGUAAACUGCUUUUAGUUGGGAAUAAAACGGGGCUCGUGAGCCCCCUUGCAUGGACCAUCAGAAAAAGGACCGGCUAAUUCCGU